rnacentral:tRNA from 1 species
AUUUUUGUGGUGUAUGAGCACGAAAGAUUUUCAAUUUUUAGGAGUAAGUAUUAUUUUUUAUCAAAAGUU